rnacentral:tRNA from 1 species
AAAGAAUUAGUCUAAUCAAAAUACAUUAAAUUGUCAAUUUAAAAAUAUUUCUUUGAAAUAUUCUUUU